rnacentral:lncRNA from 1 species
ACGGCGUGGGUAGUUUCCGAUCUCGAUCCAACAAUUUGGAAUAUUUCUGGGCUUUGUUUGAGCUUGAUUAGGAUUCCUAGUUUUAAUCUAAGUCUUAUUUAAGGCCCUUUAAAAGGCCUGAUUAGUGGAAAAGAGGAUGUGUGGUUUCUUGGUUUUCAUGGGAGAGAAUCCAGCAAAGGACCUGUGGGUGUGGACGGCUUCACGCGGAUCAGAGAAGAAUCUGUGAGGAAGAAAGAGAGAGAUGCG